UACAGAGGGGGCGAGCGUUAUUCGGAAUUAUUGGGCGUAAAGGGCGCGUAGGCGGCUAAGUAAGUCUCGGGUGAAAUCCCUCGGCUCAACCGAGGAACUGCCUUGGAAACUGCUUGGCUUGAGGCCGGGAGAGGAUGGUGGAAUUCCCAGUGUAGCGGUGAAAUGCGUAGAGAUUGGAAAGAACACCGAUGGCGAAGGCACUUUACUGGGCUAUUACUAACACUCAGAGACGAAAGCUAGGGUAGCAAAUGG
rnacentral:rRNA from 1 species